CGAGUGGCGACGGGUGAGUAAUAUAUCGGAACGUGCCCAGUCGUGGGGGAUAACGCAGCGAAAGCUGUGCUAAUACCGCAUACGAUCUACGGAUGAAAGCGGGGGAUCGCAAGACCUCGCGCGAUUGGAGCGGCCGAUAUCAGAUUAGCUAGUUGGUGGGGUAAAAGCCCACCAAGGCGACGAUCUGUAGCUGGUCUGAGAGGACGACCAGCCACACUGGAACUGAGACACGGUCCAGACUCCUACGGGAGGCAGCAGUGGGGAAUUUUGGACAAUGGGCGCAAGCCUGAUCCAGCAAUGCCGCGUGCAGGAUGAAGGCCUUCGGGUUGUAAACUGCUUUUGUACGGAACGAAACGGCGAGCUCUAAUACAGCUUGCUAAUGACGGUACCGUAAGAAUAAGCACCGGCUAACUACGUGCCAGCAGCCGCGGUAAUACGUAGGGUGCGAGCGUUAAUCGGAAUUACUGGGCGUAAAGCGUGCGCAGGCGGUUAUAUAAGACAGAUGUGAAAUCCCCGGGCUCAACCUGGGACCUGCAUUUGUGACUGUAUAGCUAGAGUACGGUAGAGGGGGAUGGAAUUCCGCGUGUAGCAGUGAAAUGCGUAGAUAUGCGGAGGAACACCGAUGGCGAAGGUAAUCCCCUGGACCUGUACUGACGCUCAUGCACGAAAGCGUGGGGAGCAAACAGGAUUAGAUACCCUGGUAGUCCACGCCCUAAACGAUGUCAACUGGUUGUUGGGUCUUCACUGACUCAGUAACGAAGCUAACGCGUGAAGUUGACCGCCUGGGGAGUACGGCCGCAAGGUUGAAACUCAAAGGGAUUGACGGGGACCUGCACAAGCGGUGGAUGAUGUGGUUUAAUUCGAUGCAACGCGAAAAACCUUACCCACCUUUGACAUGUACGGA
rnacentral:rRNA from 1 species